AACCUUUUGUUCCUCAUACGUUCUCCAGCUAGAGUUCUGCUAGGGCACACGAUCUCCUCCCGUCUCCGAGCUAGCAAAAACCCAUUCUAUUUCCAGCUCUCUAAAAUAGUUCUUGGAGCUGUGGUACUUUCUGUUGCGGGUCUGUGUCGUGUUGUUAGCAUCUAAGCAAGAUGGAAAUACUUCUGGAGGUAGGCCUGAUGGUGGUAGCGAUGCAGCUUAGUGGGCUCGUUGAUGUGGCCCGCGAAGGAUAAUUCUAUGGCCCUGGUGCCUUUGUAAUCCCUUGCUCUAGGAGCUUUUCUUUUGCAUAACUGUGAACCUUGUUGUUUCUGUUUUGGCUAUGGCAUGGUUAUAUGCCUAGAACCCCUUUCAAGUACUCCUACGGAUGACUAUAAAAGUGUAUUCCCUAA